rnacentral:rRNA from 1 species
GGUGAACGCUGGCGGCGUGCCUAAGACAUGCAAGUCGAGCGGGGCAGGUUUAUACCUGUUCAGCGGCGGACGGGUGAGUAACGCGUGGGUGACCUACCCGGAAGAGGCGGACAACCUGGGGAAACCCAGGCUAAUCCGCCAUGUGGUCCUGUCCUGUGGGGCAGGACUAAAGGGUGGAUAGCCCGCUUCCGGAUGGGCCCGCGUCCCAUCAGCUAGUUGGUGGGGUAAAGGCCCACCAAGGCGACGACGGGUAGCCGGUCUGAGAGGAUGGCCGGCCACAGGGGCACGGAGACACGGGCCCCACUCCUACGGGAGGCAGCAGUUAGGAAGCUUCCGCAAUGGACGGAAGUCUGACGGAGCGACGCCGCUUGGAGGAGGAAGCCCUUCGGGGUGUAAACUCCUGAACUGGGGACGAAAGCCCUGUGUAGGGGGAUGACGGUACCCAGGUAAUAGCGCCGGCCAACUCCGUG